rnacentral:rRNA from 1 species
UACGAAGGGGGCUAGCGUUGCUCGGAAUGACUGGGCGUAAAGGGCGCGUAGGCGGCUCAUACAGUCAGAUGUGAAAUUCCUGGGCUUAACCUGGGGGCUGCAUUUGAUACGUGUGGGCUUGAGUGGGGAAGAGGGUCGUGGAAUUCCCAGUGGUAGAGGUGAAAUUCGUAGAUAUUGGGAAGAACACCGGUGGCGAAGGCGGCGACCUGGUCCUUGACUGACGCUGAGGCGCGAAAGCGUGGGGAGCAAACAGG